rnacentral:lncRNA from 10 species
CUCAAUGUGUCCAGCAGACAACUAGUUAGUAAGGACAUAGAAGAGCUGAACGUGCCAGAUCUAAUGGACAUGUACCAUAUAUACAUUUACCUGUCCUCAAAAAGAUAUGUAUGACUUACUACAAAAAUUCACCACAAAGUCGUGCACAAAGCAAAAUCUCAACUAACACCAAAGACUUGUUAUUAGACACAUUGUAAUCAGGUUACCUGACUACAGUACAAUUAAAUUUGCUAUAAAUAAUAAAAAGUAGGCCAGGCGCACUGGCUCACGCCUGUAAUCCCAGCACUUUGGGAGUCGAGGCAGGCGGAUCACCUGAGGUCAGGAGUUCAAGACCAGCCUGACCAACAUGGUGAAACCCUGUCUCUACUAAAAUACAAAAAUUAGCUGGGUGUGGUGGCACACGGCUGUGAUCCAUGAGGAAGAAAGACUGAAUUUAGUAACAGCAUACAUCGAGAGAAGUGAGAAAAAGAAAAAGGAAUUUGGAAGGAAGGAAAAAAUGGAGAAGAGAGCAGAAACUAAUGAAAUAAGAUCCCCCACAUAAAUUGAGUUCAUUACAUAGUAAGUAUAGAUAAUCCAUAAUUUAAUAUGGAAAAUUCAGACAUGGAGUGUUACUAAUCAGAUAAACAGAGCCUCAAAUUAGACUAUGGAAAAGAUCAAUGGACCUGCUCUAAUUGCCAACCAAAAAGAAGCAAGCAAAAGGGAAAUUAAUCAAAGGAACAUUCUCCUUUGCUCCUUCUUUAGCUAAGCGUCAAGAACAUUUUGCAGGUGAUAGGAAGGGGCUGUCCUGGAUAUCCGUGCAAAAGAGUAGAGCAGCCUCUUCCCAGAGUGGCUCCAUUUCCAAUGGCCCAUAUUUGUUCUGCUGCCCAAGAGUUUUAAUAAAGCAACACCGGAUCCCUGCAGAAGAUCCUUUCACUGCAGUCAAAGUCAUCAGGCACAGCUUGGCUUGGAUGACUUUUCAAGAGUAAGGAUUAUAUUAAAAAUGACUGCACCACUAAUUAUGAGAAAACUAG